AAGACUAUACUUUCAGGGAUCGUUUAUAUAGUUUGUUACUAGAGAAAUUUUUCCAAUCAUGUAGAAUUCUGGAAACCAUGAGAAGAAGCAUGGUGCUUUCUCCUGAGCAUAAAAGCGCACUUGGUAUUGCUUUGUUGUGACUACCUUUUGUCAUUGAUGAUCAUAAAACAAAACAAAAAAAUUAAUUUGUAAAUUGCCUUUGAGGC
ensembl:snoRNA U3 Small nucleolar RNA U3